UUGAUUAAAUUUAAUUCAACCUAAUCCACCACCACUGCAACCCCAAUCAACUCAUCCCAAAAGCCAUCCUGUGGAAUCCUGCGGCUUUUGCAGUUAUGGGUUAGUGCCGCACAGCCACCAGCGGCGCUUCCACUGCAACUGGAACUCCGGCCACCACAAAACCACAACGAAACCAACCAGCCACCACUCCUCUCACCGAACACAACCACCGUUUUUCUCACCCACGAAUAAACAAACGGCAACAACACCCCCAAAACUUCUCACUAAAUCUUCUCCACAAAUUCAAUAUUCUGCAAAGCUUGCAAAUAUUUGAAACAAAAUUCUCACUUCUCCAACAAAAUUCGCACACCAGAUCUGGAAAAUACCAACUGAGUUUUGGCCCAUCCUCUUCUGACCCGUUCCAGCAUACAUUCUCCCUCAAUUUUGUCAAAUCUCAGCAACAAAACUCAACCUAAAGAGAAUCCCCAAUCACGACCUUCACAAUGGUUAUGAAGCGGCCUGAUUAUCGUCCAAGGUGCAUCCAUGGCCGCGUUUUUCCUGGGUUUACUGGGUUUGAGGGAAAGAGGAGUGGGAGGUAGAAGGAGUAUUGGGUUUGCUGGGUUGAAAAGCUUCAAGUUUCAAUCUCUCUUAUUUGACUUGGGUUGAAAAGCUUGAAGCUUUUGUUCCUGGGUUUGAAGGAAAGGAGAAGUCAGCAGGUAGAAGGAGUGAUGGGUUGAAAAGCUUGAAACUUUUGUACCUGGGUUUGCUGGGUUUGAGGGAAAAGAAAAGUGAGAAGGUAGAAGGAGUGAUGGGUGGUGCGGUGGUGGCUUCAGAUUGAACGGAGGAUGGUGCGGUGGUGGGUGGGUGGGUUGGGUAAAGGGAAAACAGUGGGUGACGGCCGGCGGGUUGAACAGAGGGAGAGCAGUGGGGAGGGAGGAGGAGGAUGGUGGGUAAAGGGUAAAUUUUGCAGUGGUGAUGGAUUAGGUUGAAGAUGAAGGUUUGUUCAGGAGGUCCUUUGCUCUGUUGCUCCUACUGAUUCCAUAGGUCCUGAUAAAGUUGUUUGGUUGGGCACACCUCAGGCAUAUUUUCUACGAAAUCAGCUUAUAAGCUAGUGGUUGGAAGCACGAGUUGAGCACGUUGAGAUGGCUGCUAGGGGUAGGUUUUUCUUUGAAAAUAGUUGAAAAAUGGAAUUAUAACCAAUUACACUAGAGUUCAUAAAGAUCAUAUGGCAAGGAAGAUACACUCCAUUUGUUUCGAGAAUGAAUUUGGUAUUCAUCGAUAGGGAGUGGCAUUGGCCAGGACUUCCUCACAGGAGACCUAUGUAACUGGCUCUCCAACUAUACUAGAGGAACAAUGAGCAACAUAGGGGGAUGGACUGGCCUGGCUUUUCUGUGUCUGCUUUAUGGGAAAUUUGGUGUGUUAGGAACGAUCUGGUCUUCAAUCAGAUUCAGCCCAAUCCAACCAGAACUUGGGGCCUAAUUUGGUCCAUAGGGAUGGAUCAUCAUAUGGGCUCCAUAGGGGAUUAGCCCCUCUUAUAUUCUAAGCGAAGCAACCAGUGUUUUUGUGUGUAGAAAACCGCGCAUCCAACAACAAUAGUGGCAGCCUCCUAAUGAUGGUCGGGCGAAGUUCAACGUUGACAGCGCGGUAGCAGAUGAUCUUGCGGCUAGUCGAGGUGGUGCUUGCAGGAUGCUGGCAUGCUGCCGAUGCUUGGAUCAAGGGGUUUUGCAGAAAUCUAGGCUCGUUUAGUUCUCUGAAGUCUGAAUGCUAUUCUUACAAAGUUAAUUGUGAUUUCAAUGGUGGUGGAUAUAGUGUUUAGUUUGGAUAUCCCUUGAGUGAUUAUGGAGUCUGAUUCACUUGAGAUUAUUCAACUUAUCAUGUCCACUAAUUUGUAUUCUCACCCAUAUGAGGAUUUAGUUAUUUACAUCCGUCAUAGAGAAGCUAAUGUUCUCGCAAACUACUUAGCCCAUGUAGCGUUCAAUUUUAUUUUUGGUAAUCAUUUGUUAGAUUUUCCAUUUUAAGAGUGUGAUAUGUUAAUCUC